UACGGAGGAUGCGAGCGUUAUCCGGAUUUACUGGGUGUAAAGGGAGCGUAGGCGGCUUAGUAAGUCAGAAGUGAAAGCCCGCAGCUCAACUGCGGGACUGCUUUUGAAACUGCCAAGCUAGAGUGUCGGAGAGGUAAGUGGAAUUCCUAGUGUAGCGGUGAAAUGCGUAGAUAUCACGCAGAACCCCGAUUGCGAAGGCAGCAUACCGGUGCACAACUGACGCUCAGGCACGAAAGCGUGGGUAUCGAACAGG
rnacentral:rRNA from 1 species